rnacentral:rRNA from 1 species
GUAGGGAAUCUUCCACAAUGGGCGAAAGCCUGAUGGAGCAACGCCGCGUGUGUGAUGAAGGCUUUAGGGUCGUAAAGCACUGUUGUAUGGGAAGAAAUGCUAGAAUAGGGAAUGAUUCUAGUUCGACGGUACCAUACCAGAAAGGGACGGCUAAAUACGUGCCAGCAGCCGCGGUAAUACGUAUGUCCCGAGCGUUAUCCGGAUUUAUUGGGCGUAAAGCGAGCGCAGACGGUUGAUUAAGUCUGAUGUGAAAGCCCGGAGCUCAACUCCGGAAUGGCAUUGGAAACUGGUUAACUUGAGUGUUGUAGAGGUAAGUGGAACUCCAUGUGUAGCGGUGGAAUGCGUAGAUAUAUGGAAGAACACCAGUGGCGAAGGCGGCUUACUGGACAACAACUGACGUUGAGGCUCGAAAGUGUGGGUAGCAAACAGGAUUAGAAACCCUAGUAGUCCC